GACAGAGGGUGCAAACGUUGUUCGGAUUUACUGGGCGUAAAGCGCGUGUAGGCGGCUCGGCAAGUCGGGUGUGAAAGCCCCGGGCUCAACCUGGGAAGUGCACCCGAAACUGCCGAGCUGGAGUACUGGAGAGGACGGCGGAAUUCUCGGUGUAGAGGUGAAAUUCGUAGAUAUCGGGAGGAACACCUGUGGCGAAGGCGGCUCACUGGACCACAACUGACGCUGAGGCGCGAAAGCUAGGGGAGCAAACAGG
rnacentral:rRNA from 1 species